UUCCUGUGCUGGCCGCCGACAAAAUCCAUUCCUGGUUUUGGUUUGAUGCUUUUCAAUUUAUUUAUUAGUUAUCACAGAGUAGACCAAUUUAAAAUCGUUACUUUGAUUUAAUUAAUUAAUCAACUUUUUUUAUGCCCAAAAAAAUAAUUAAGAAAAAUAAAUAUAAUAAUGAGUAAAAUACACAGCACCACCUGUCAACCUUAUCCAACUUCUUUUCUCUAUAAGUAUCUCCCACCAAAAUAAUUCUACUGCAUUCCCAGAAAAAAAAAACCAAGUGCCAAGAAUUACUUUACGAAGAAUUGGGUAUGGCUGAUAUUGCUAUUCUGGUUGCAGAGGAGUACGAGAGAAGGCUCAAGAGUUCAGCAAGGGUAAGCUCUGACCGAGAGCUCGGGCUCAAAUCUUCUGUCUUAGUCCUGGUUCAGACCAUUCGGACCACACCGGCUCUUGAAAAAGUCCAGCGUCUCAAGUUGGGUCUGGAACCCAGGUCCCAGAUUGGUCUUGCUGCCUCUCGUGGCUUCUUCUCUGCUUGAUUUAUGGUAA
rnacentral:lncRNA from 1 species